rnacentral:rRNA from 1 species
AACGAGCGCAACCCCUACUUGUUAGUUGUCCAUCAUUCAGUUGGGCGACUCUAGCGAGACUGCCGGUAAUAAACCGGAGGAAGGUGGGGAGUGACGUCAAAUACAUCAUGCCCCUUACUGACCUGGGCUACACACGUGCUACAAUGGUUGGUACAACGAGUUGCGAGUCGGUGACGGCGAGCUAAUCUCUUAAAGCCAAUCUCAGUUCGGAUUGUAGGCUGCAACUCGCCUACAUGAAGUCGGAAUCGCUAGUAAUCGCGGAUCAGCACGCCGCGGUGAAUACGUUCCCGGGCCUU